GGUUGGGAAACUGCCGCCGCGCCAUGCCAUUUGUCAUGCUGUAUAUUUACAGGCUAUGUCAGACCAGGGUGGGUGGACGCGAGACGUCUCCGCUCUGUGCCUGAGUCCAUGGACGCCAGGCACAGAACCUCCCCUCAUUCAUCUGUUUACUUUCUAAAUAUGCCUCUGUUUGGACUUGCAUCAGUGGGGAGACAAUAUCUAAGAAAACGAGGAAGGAAAUCUGUGGAAAACAAAGGAAAGGGAAAGAAACCCUGUGUGAUAGAGACUGCCCCUCGCUGUUCCUGAUUACGGCAGAUUUUCACAACGCUUGGCGCCAUAAAAAUCAGCCAUCCAGCCAGCCGGGCAGGCAGACUGGGAGAGGAGGAAUGGUCGUGAUCCUAGAAAAUAACAACGCAUGUCAGCUGAGAGAAUGGCAACAGAGAGGACCUGCUCUCUUUCCUCAAAACAUGAAAUAUACCUGGUAGUGUCAUCGACCAACUAAAAGAAGAUAAGUAACUCUAUCUAAUCUCCAGUGAAAAGAACAAGAAUGCCGUAAAAACAACACGACUAGCUGGAGACCGAGGCAAGAGUGAAGAGAAAAUCUGCCCUAAAGAUUUGAAACAGGAAGAGCGUGGCGUCAGUACAGGCGGGAGAUAAGAGCGCUGCGCUCCGUACACAAACACAGGGUUUCUGUGGCUGAGUGACUCCCCACUCUCUCGGCGCCCUCACAGUAGCUGUCUUCUCUCCCUGACCGGCUCCGGACCACAGGCCACCACCCACCCCUGCACAAAGCAGAUCCAGGGGCCUGAUACACCCUGACUGACUCCAGGGGUCUUAAGGGGAUUUGUGCAAGUCCAGGGAAUGGAUGGCCUCAAACAGGAAACCCUGGGAAAAAAUGAGGGUACUUUUAUCGAUGCUGCCUUUUGGCCUUCCCUGUAUAAACGUUACCACAGAUAAAGUCCAACGUAACUGAAGCCACCAAGCAGAAGAGGUCAAUUUAACUUGCGGUAUGGUUUGUAACAGUAGACAAACAUGGAAAGGCAACAAGAUUGAAUGUUGCAUGCUAAUUAUUAUUAUAUUGGCUUUAAAUUGACCAGCCAACAGACUGCAGUCUUUCGUUCCACCAUCCAACUACAAUAUACCAUUUUUGUAGCACGUUUUCCAACAAAAAAGUAAUAAAAAG